rnacentral:antisense_RNA from 2 species
CUUGACCGAGCCGAGCAGCAGCGGCUGCCCCUCGGGCCGGUCCUGCCCGUACGUCGCCAGCAGGGCCUGGGCCUC